rnacentral:rRNA from 1 species
UACGUAGGGUGCAAGCGUUGUCCGGAAUUAUUGGGCGUAAAGAGCUCGUAGGCGGUCUGUUGCGUCGGCUGUGAAAACCCGGGGCUCAACUCCGGGCCUGCAGCCGAUACGGGCAGACUAGAGUUCGGCAGGGGAGACUGGAAUUCCUGGUGUAGCGGUGAAAUGCGCAGAUAUCUGGAGGAACACCGGUGGCGAAGGCGACGUCCUGGACCGGCAUUGACGCUGAGGCGCGAAAGCCAGGGGAGCAAACGGG